AACGAACGCUGGCGGCAGGCCUAACACAUGCAAGUCGAGCGCCCUUUCGGGGGAGCGGCGGACGGGUGAGUAACGCGUGGGAAUAUGCCCUUCUCUACGGAAUAGCCUCGGGAAACUGAGAGUAAUACCGUAUACGCCCUAUGGGGGAAAGAUUUAUCGGGGAAGGAUUAGCCCGCGUUGGAUUAGGUAGUUGGCGGGGUAAUGGCCUACCAAGCCGACGAUCCAUAGCUGGUUUGAGAGGAUGAUCAGCCACACUGGGACUGAGACACGGCCCAGACUCCUACGGGAGGCAGCAGUGGGGAAUCUUAGACAAUGGGGGCAACCCUGAUCUAGCCAUGCCGCGUGAGUGAUGAAGGCCUUAGGGUUGUAAAGCUCUUUCAGCUGGGAAGAUAAUGACGGUACCAGCAGAAGAAGCCCCGGCUAACUCCGUG
rnacentral:rRNA from 1 species